GUCCAGAGUGUACUGGCAGAGGUGUAUGGCCAGCAUUGCACCGGUUAAGCAUGUGUGGGAGUUUGAUAUGGAGCGCCAAGGUGCUGAAUGUUACUCAAUAAAGUAUUCAUGUGGCA